rnacentral:sRNA from 1 species
UUCUCAGCUCUAGAAACAGAAGUCCUUCAUUUAUUCACAGAAUAGAUACAGCCUAGGCAAUGGCACCAUGGGUUUUCCUUGCACUGACUUGCCACUCAACCUCAGCCGCAUACUGGAGGGGGCCCUUUCUAGGGAGCUGAAUGAAUGGGAGUUUUAUUUCCAUGGAUCCUCCAGUCUCAUACCUUUCU